UCUAUUUAAAACAAUACUGUGUUGACACUUAUGUGGGCUCAAGACAUAUAUCAAAUCGUUAGUCUAUUUAAAUCUGUUCUAUUUAAGUUAAGAUUAUUUUUUAUUAAAAAGCAAAAGUUAACAGAAAUGGCAGACAGAUAUUUUGGCAAAAGAUACAGAAAACCCAAUCCGAUAUACCAGGAAGCCAGCGGUGAUAACACCUGUUUGGUAAGUUUUACGUUUAAAUUUUAUUAAAAUGUUAUUAAAAUGUACAGAUUUAAUAGUCUUGUGAUGUGUUGGACGGAUAGAGAGAUAUGUACACCGCGUUACAUUAUUAAUAUCCUAUUUCUUGUUUAUUUUCAACUGGAGCCAGCAUCCUGUUAAGCCAUGCAAGAGACCACAUGCUCUUAUGAGAGAAAUUGUUCAACAAAGUUCAGAAACACAAAUCGAGGACAUAGUUGAAAUGAAUUGCCAUAGUUGGUUGAAAGUGUGGUAGACCUUAUUAAAAAAUGCCACAGUAGACCUACCUCUCCACGAAAUCCACCACAAGAAGUACCACACGCUGAAAGGAUUGAUAUUGAUGUGGGUAUUUUCAUACCAGAGGCUUCACUAAGAUAUUGCCACCACAGUAAAUACAGCAAAUGCACUACUAAUGUUGAUUUUCUCAAAGGAUGAACUUGCCCUGUCAAGUUUGACUGGAAAGAUGUGUAACAUCCCAAAAAAAAAAAAAAAAAAACACUCAAAAAAGAAGCUGGACCGCCAAAAAUUGGAGACAAUAGUUGGUAACUAAUUAUUAAUCUUAAAC